GCGUGAGAUGCCGGCACCGGUGAGCCAGCUGUGUGACAUCACUGAUCCUCGCGCAUGCGCAGCGCGGCUCAUGAGGAUCCAUGCGAAAUUGGCUCCGGUUAGGCAAGUGUAGCUCACGCUACAAAUACCCACCAGCUGCAG
rnacentral:lncRNA from 1 species